rnacentral:rRNA from 1 species
UACGAAGGGUGCAAGCGUUAAUCGGAAUUACUGGGCGUAGAGCGUGCGCAGGCGGUUUUGUAAGUCUGUCGUGAAAUCCCCGGGCUUAACCUGGGAAUUGCGAUGGAGACUGCAAGGCUAGAAUCUGGCAGAGGGGGGUAGAAUUCCACGUGUAGCAGUGAAAUGCGUAGAGAUGUGGAGGAACACCGAUGGCGAAGGCAGCCCCCUGGGUCAAGAUUGACGCUCAUGCACGAAAGCGUGGGGAGCAAACAGG